UACAGAGGCCCCAAGCGUUAUCCGGAAUCACUGGGCGCGAAGGGUGUCAAGGCGGCCAUGUUAGUCGCCCGUAAAAUCCGUGGGCUCAACCUACGGCGCGCGGGCGAAACGGCAUGGCUAGAGGGUGGGAGAGGUGCGUGGAACUCACGGUGUAGGGGUGAAAUCCGUUGAUAUCGUGGGGAACACCAAAGGCGUAGGCAGCGCACUGGCCCAUUCCUGACGCUCACACACGAAAGCCAGGGUAGCGAACGGG
rnacentral:misc_RNA from 1 species